rnacentral:rRNA from 1 species
UACAGAGGGUGCAAGCGUUAUUCGGAAUUACUGGGCGUAAGGGCGCGUAGGCGGGAUGGCAAGUCGGUCGUGAAAUCCUUCGGCUCAACCGAAGAACGUCGAUCGAUACUGCUGUUCUUGAGGGUUGCAGAGGAGACUGGAAUUCCCGGUGUAGCGGUGAAAUGUGUAGAGAUCGGGAGGAACACCGGUGGCGAAGGCGGGUCUCUGGACAGUUCCUGACGCUGAGGCACGAAGGUCAGGGGAGCAAACGGG